AUUGAACGCUGGCGGCAUGCUCUACACAUGCAAGUCGAACGGUAACAGGCCGCAAGGUGCUGACGAGUGGCGCACGGGUGCGUAAUGCAUCGGAACGUGCCCCGUCGUGGGGGAUAACUACUCGAAAGAGUAGCUAAUACCGCAUACGAUCUAUGGAUGCAAGCGGGGGACCGUAAGGCCUCGCGCGAUUGGAGCGGCCGCUGUCAGAUUAGGUAGUUGGUGGGGUAAAGGCUCACCAAGCCAACGAUCUGUAGCUGGUCUGAGAGGACGACCAGCCACACUGGGACUGAGACACGGCCCAGACUCCUACGGGAGGCAGCAGUGGGGAAUUUUGGACAAUGGGCGCAAGCCUGAUCCAGCAAUGCCGCGUGCAGGAAGAAGGCCUUCGGGUUGUAAACUGCUUUUGUACGGAACGAAACGGCUCUGGUUAAUACCCGGGGCUAAUGACGGUACCGUAAGAAUAAGCACCGGCUAACUACGUG
rnacentral:rRNA from 1 species